rnacentral:lncRNA from 1 species
UUUUUUUUCUCAAAAAAUUGCAUUUACAAGUUUAACCUUUUGCCAAACUAACUUGACCAUCAUGACUAACACGUAGGGAGAGUAUGAUUUGGAGUUUUUGGGUUGCAGAAAAGCUCAUUUGAAGCCUCUCGCAUUUCAUCAAGCACCUAUGGUGCAUGGCCAGAUUUGGCAUAAGCUUGGACCUGUAGUGUGGAGUUGCCCCAUUGCUCAAGCCAACAUGUCUAGCAAGUUUGCUAUAAGACCUAGUUUAGUCCUGUUUAUUUGGAG